UCCUCAGUAGCUCCAUGGUAGAGCGGUCGGCUGUUAACCGAUUGGUUGUAGGUUCGAAUCCUACUUGGGGAG
rnacentral:tRNA from 1 species